rnacentral:rRNA from 1 species
GACGAACGCUGGCGGCGUGCUUAACACAUGCAAGUCGAACGCGCCUGUCCUCUGGGUUUCUGGGGGGCGGGUGAGUGGCGAACGGGUGAGUAACACGUGAGUAACCUGCCCCCUUCUUCGGGAUAACGGUCUGAACGGGCUGCUAAUACCGGGUAUUCACUGGUCUCCGCAUGGGGUCUGGUGGCAAGGUUUUUUUCUGGUUGGGGAUGGGCUCGCGGCCUCUCAGCUUGUUGGUGGGGUGCUGGCCCACCAAGGCGUUGACGGGUAGCAGGCCUGUGCGGGGGAACGGUCACAUUGGGACUGGGAGGCGGCCCAGACGCGUGCGGGAGGCAGCAGCGGGGAAUAUUGUACAAUGGCCGCAACCCUGAGGCGGCGCCGCCGCUUGGGGGAUGGAGGCCCUCGGGUUGUGAGCCUCUGGCGACCGUGGUGGAGCCGCGACGUGGGUCGUGGUGAGGGUGGGGGGUAAAGAAGCGCCGGCUAACUACGUG